AUUUGUCAGAUGCUAAGGAGUUGGCUUUCUUGCCAUUAUGUACUUAUGAUGUUUCUGAAAAGCUUUUGCACACCUGAUAACAACAAAACAUAGAUGAGCUGGUCUGAGAACAAGUGGACCUCAAAAUGUUGGCACUUUGACAUGAUUAUUUACACUCUCCCAAAAAACAGAAUUGGGUCAUGAGCAGAGGAAAGAAUAUUUAUCCAUUAAUUGACAUGUCUGGAUGAAAAGAGGAUACUAGAGGGAGAAAAGAAGAGAGCAAGCCUAUCUUUACAGUUUUGAGAAAGAAAGUAAUGUAGAAGUCUAUAUAAGUAAUUCUUAAUUCUUAAUUAUCUCAGAUUCCCAAAUAAUAUGCAAAAGCCUCACACAUUACUGAAGAGUACAAAUCUGACAUAGAAAUUUCCUUCUACCAUCUCUGCACUGCAUCUCUAGGCCUGCGAUGUUUUUGCUGCCUGUGUCUUAUAACAAAGCAAAUUAAUCUCCAUUUUGCAGCCAAAGAGAGUAAAAUUUUACCAACAACUUCCUCAUUAGUUCUGCACUGCAGGCUGCAUCUGCCUGAUGCUGACCUCCCUAUGAAUUUUUAUUGUUGUGGUAUUUAUUUGGUCAUAAUUAUCUCAUCUCCACCUACACCAACCUGUCAGAGAGAGUGUUAGUUUUUCUUUACUGGUUUGUAAUUCUAUUACACAGCCCAUCAGCAGCUUGUUUCUGAUUAUUGCAAGCACAACACCCUUCUGGUAGCAGCUGUUAAUAUUUGUCCUUGCUUUAUUAUGCAACAAGUGCAUGUUGCUUGCCUAUAAUAAUGUGGAACUAACAAUGAUAUCCCAGCCUGCUUCCUGGGAAAUUAUGCUCUCCCUGCACCUUUUCUUUAUUUGUAGAAUAUGAACCAGAUAUUUAACCAGCUGUUUAAUAUGUCCAUCAUGUUGGAAAGUCACAGGAACAAAGAAGGCCCAGCAGAUAUGGCAAGAAGAAAAGACUGCAUUAAAAACUUUCUGGGUGGGCUCACAGCAUGGAGCCAGCACGGAGAUACCAGAAUGUCUACAGAUGAGGGAUUUCAAGCUAAGCUGCUGAGAUUGUUUUUAAACAUCUUUAUUCCUGCGAUGCAGAAACCUUUCAAGUUACGCUGUGCAAAACUAUCUUUUAAAGUUACACUUUGAUAACAUUCAAGACAGUGGAAUUGAGAGAGAUCUAAAAGUUUGGGAUGCAUGAAGAAACUGAAGAAAGUGAUGACAGUGUCCUCACCCUCUGCUUCCUUAGGUAGGA